GGCUCAGGACGAACGCUGGCGGCGUGCUUAACACAUGCAAGUCGAGCGAUGAAGUUCCUUCGGGGAUGGAUUAGCGGCGAACGGGUGAGGAACACGUGAGGAAUCUGCCUUCUACUCUGGGAUAACUCCGGGAAACCGGGGCUAAUACCGGAUAUGAAACCUGAUGGCAUCAUCGGGUUUGGAAAGUUUUUCGGUAGAAGAUGACCUCGCGGCCUAUCAGCUUGUUGGUGAGGUAAUGGCUCACCAAGGCGACGACGGGUAGCCGGCCUGAGAGGGCGACCGGCCACACUGGGACUGAGACACGGCCCAGACUCCUACGGGAGGCAGCAGUGGGGAAUAUUGGGCAAUGGAGGAAACUCUGACCCAGCGACGCCGCGUGCGGGAUGAAGGCCUUCGGGUUGUAAACCGCUUUCAGCAGGGAAGAAGCGAAAGUGACGGUACCUGCAGAAGAAGCACCGGCUAACUAUGUGCCAGCAGCCGCGGUAAUACAUAGGGUGCAAGCGUUGUCCGGAAUUAUUGGGCGUAAAGAGCUCGUAGGUGGUUCGUAACGUCGGGUGUGAAAAUCUGGGGCUCAACCCCAGACCUGCAUUCGAUACGGGCGAACUAGAGUGUGGUAGGGGAGACUGGAAUUCCUGGUGUAGCGGUGGAAUGCGCAGAUAUCAGGAGGAACACCAAUGGCGAAGGCAGGUCUCUGGGCCAUUACUGACACUGAGGAGCGAAAGCGUGGGGAGCGAACAGGAUUAGAUACCCUGGUAGUCCACGCCGUAAACGGUGGGCACUAGUUGUGGGAACCUUCCACGGUUUCUGCGACGCAGCUAACGCAUUAAGUGCCCCGCCUGGGGAG
rnacentral:rRNA from 1 species